GACGAACCGUGCGAACGUUGUUCGGAAUCACUGGGCUUAAAGGGCGCGUAGGCGGGCUGCCAAGUCUGGGGUGAAAUCCCACGGCUCAACCGUGGAACUGCCUCGGAUACUGGCGGUCUCGAGGGAGGUAGGGGCAUGCGGAACUGUGGGUGGAGCGGUGAAAUGCGUUGAUAUCCACAGGAACUCCGGUGGCGAAAGCGGCGUGCUGGGCCUUACCUGACGCUGAGGCGCGAAAGCUAGGGGAGCGAACAGG
rnacentral:rRNA from 1 species